rnacentral:lncRNA from 1 species
UCGGUCUCUCUGUCUAAAAUAAACCGAGGUGGUCCCUGGUCUGGGCGUCCUAGGACGUGUCUGAACACCCCGCGGAGGAAGAAGACAGCACCAGCCACUGCUGGCACGGGGCUGCAGCCCCUGGCUACACACACCUCCGAAAGACAGCGGCGACUUCGGACACCUCUCUCCCGCCCCAGCCUGACUCCCCAGGGGCGGUGUGAAACCACGAGUGAUAAUAUCUCCCAUCGCCAGCUUUGAACUUCAGGUAGAAGGAGACCUUAUGGCAGUUGGACUAUCUGAGAGACCUGGUGCCCUGUGCUGCCUCCUGCAUAAUGCAUGUGCUCGUGGUAGGAACAGAACCCCGUCCGUGGUGAGUCUGGCCACUGUGGGCCAUGGACGUGUCCAGAGGCCUUGCCAAGGCUGAUGUCUCUAGGAUGUUGGCAGGAGAUGAGGAGACAGAGGGAGUAUGUGUCACCUGAAAAUUUUCCUGGGGCUGAGGUGGGAACAGGUUGCAUCUUGAGCCUCAGGAUUCUGCAAAGAAAAUAGGGGAAGACAUGAGUUCCCAUGGCUCAGCGGUAAGGAACCAAAAUAAUACCCACGAGGACGUGGGUUUGAUCCUUGGCCCUGAUCAGUGGGUUAAGGAUCCGGCAUUGCUGUGAGAUGUGGUGUAGGCUGCAGACUUAGCUUGAAUCCUGCAUUGUUGGCUGUGGGGUAGGUCAGCAGCUGCAGCUCUGAUCUGCAGACCCUAAAAAAGAAAAAAAGAAAAAAAAAAGUGGGCAGUCAGAGUGCCUCACAAGCCCAGGGAAGGCAUCACCUCAUUGGUUGGAUUCCACUCAUUCAUAGAAUCAGUAAGUACUCAAGGCCAAGCUAACUGCUAGGGCUUAAGAUAUGAAGAUGAGGAGUUCCCAUUGUGGCUCAGUGGUUAACGAAGCCAACUAGGAACCAUGAGGUUGUGGGUUCGAUCCCUGGCCUCACUCAGUGGGUUAAGGAUCUGGCGUUGCCUCGAGCUGUGGUGUAGGUCGUAGACUCAGCUCAGAUCCCACAUUGCUGUGGCUCUGGCGUAGGCCAGCGGCUACAGCUCUAAUUGGACCCCUAGCCUGGGAACCUCCAUAUGCCCCGGGUGCAGCCCUAGAAAAAAAAGACAUGAAGAUGAAUCAGGGGAGUUCCUGUUGUGGCUCAGUAGGUUAAGGAC